CAUUGCAAAUAAGAAUGAACUUGGAUAAGUUGAUGGCAUUACACUUAUGUUUUCAUGGACCAGUUUCCUUCCAUCCCUACUAUUUCACUCGUCAAUAGCAGUGUGUCAGAAACAGCCAUUGCCAACAACCCACGUUUCUUUAUGUGAUAGAUAUUCACCACAAAUCAGCAUGGCUGACCAGGCACCUUUCCCAGAAGCAGUCUACCGGCCAUCUUCAGUAGAAUUACUGCACCUCUCUUCCAUGCUACUUGCAACAAGACAGGCUGCUUCUCUUGUCUGACAAGGCUAUGGUGAUUACAAUAUCACCACAGUCUUCUUGCAAUUUCCACAUUGCUGUGUAAAAUGAAAUGCUGCCGUCUGCAAUAAAAUUGUUUUUACAAUGGCUGGU